rnacentral:rRNA from 1 species
GACGAACGCUGGCGGCGUGCCUAAUACAUGCAAGUCGAGCGGAACUGGGGGAGCUUGCUCCUUCCAGUUUAGCGGCGGACGGGUGAGUAACACGUGGACAACCUGCCCUGCAGAUCGGGAUAACUCCGGGAAACCGGUGCUAAUACCGGAUAGUUUGUCGCCUCUCCUGAGGCGCUACGGAAAGACGGUUUCGGCUGUCACUGCAGGAUGGGCCGGCGGCGCAUUAGCUAGUUGGUGGGGUAACGGCCCACCAAGGCGACGAUGCGUAGCCGACCUGAGAGGGUGACCGGCCACACUGGGACUGAGACACGGCCCAGACUCCUACGGGAGGCAGCAGUAGGGAAUCUUCCGCAAUGGACGCAAGUCUGACGGAGCAACGCCGCGUGAGUGACGAAGGUUUUCGGAUCGUAAAACUCUGUUGUGAGGGAAGAACACGUACCAACUAACUAUUGGUACCUUGACGGUACCUCACCAGAAAGCCACGGCUAACUACGUGCCAGCCGCCGCAGUAA